rnacentral:rRNA from 1 species
AGUGAACGCUGGCGGUAGGCCUAACACAUGCAAGUCGAACGGCAGCACAGUAAGAGCUUGCUCUUACGGGUGGCGAGUGGCGGACGGGUGAGGAAUACAUCGGAAUCUACUUUUUCGUGGGGGAUAACGUAGGGAAACUUACGCUAAUACCGCAUACGACCUACGGGUGAAAGCAGGGGAUCUUCGGACCUUGCGCGAUUGAAUGAGCCGAUGUCGGAUUAGCUAGUUGGCGGGGUAAAGGCCCACCAAGGCGACGAUCCGUAGCUGGUCUGAGAGGAUGAUCGGCCACACUGGAACUGAGACACGGUCCAGACUCCUGCGGGAGGCAGCAGUGGGGAAUAUUGGACAAUGGGCGCAAGCCUGAUCCAGCCAUACCGCGUGGGUGAAGAAGGCCUUCGGGUUGUAAAGCCCUUUUGUUGGGAAAGAAAAGCAGCAGGUUAAUACCCCGCUGUUCUGACGGUACCCAAAGAAUAAGCACCGGCUAACUUCGUG